rnacentral:hammerhead_ribozyme from 1 species
GUCCACCUGACGAGUCCGGAAUAGGACGAAACGCGCGUUCUGGAU